UUCAAGGUUUUUUUUCCACUCUUUCACUACAUGAACAGCAUAUCAAGCCAAAGGAGCAAAUUGAAAAAAGAGAAUAUGAAGAAUGAAAAUUAAUUAAGCUUCACUAACCAUGGUAACUCUGGGAUCAUGUGGCAGUUCUGUAACCUUCGACUUGCUAAAAUCAGUUGUUAAAGCAAUACUGUGAGUAUCAUUAGCAUUUUCGAACAAAGUAAGCAAAAGUGAUGUUGACAUACCAUUACCAGGUGUGUCAGGUGCAGGGAAUUCAGAUCUUCCUUGCUGCUGACUAAUAUUUUUGUUAAUUGACAGAGAGGAAACGCCAUAGAUAGAUUUCUUAGUGUUCUCAGGCGAGGGAUAUAGACUCAACAGGGUUGAAGUAGGUGGGACAAAUGGAGCCUGAAAGAGCCGGGGUGAAGAUGUAUGAAAUUGGGCACUAGGUUUUGAAUGCUCAUAUGAAUAACCUGAAAGUUGGCCUGUUGAGAGAUUUGCUUGAAGAACCUCAGGAUUAACACUGAUUCCCUGUCUCAUGUUCACGUCAUUUGUAUCAUCCAUUUUCAUGCAGCUGCUUUUGUUGCUGUUGCUGUGGUUGUUGCAGUAGCCGCAGCUUCUGCUGCAUCUGAAGCAGUUGAAACUGUUGUUUGUACAUUUGUGACUGCAGCAUUUGCUGUUCCUGCUGUUGUUUCAUAUGCUGGUGCUGAAGCAUGUUGGAAUUUGACUGAAAAGGAUUCAUGUUUUGCGGCAGGACACUUAACCCACUUUGUGAAGAUAAACUGUUAAUAUUUGCCUGUUGGGAGGUACUCACAGGAUUCUGUUGUAAAGGUCCUGCAGCAGCCUGCUGCAUUGAGCCUAGGGCAUUACCUUGUCCCGCAUCCAAAUUGGAACUUGGCUGCAGGGAAUUUAACAUGCUCUGCUGCGCUGUUGCAACCCCAGGUAAGGAAGACACAGAAUUAUACUGCAAACUUGUCAUGUUGUUCGGCUGCAUUGUUGGAACAAAACCUUGUAAAUUCGUUGACAGCAACUGAUGGUUCAUUUGAUUAUCAUGAGACUGUGUCUGAUUAAUUUGAGGUUGUGGUUGCGGCAUGGAAUGCAUAUCAUUGAGGAAGCUGUCCUUGCUGCCGUGCUGAGACUGCCUUCCUUGGCCUACUGGUAUUUAAAAAAUUUACUAUCUGCUUCUCAUACAAACUCAACUUAUCCUUGAAAGUUGGUAAGAUACUGGCUUUGGGAACUGAUAAGAAAGAUAUAAUGUGCUCCAACAAGAUCUUGAACAUUUUUAACUUUUCAAGCUGCUCUGACUUUGGCUACUGUGGAAGAGAAUCAUGCUGGAAAAUCGUACACAUAAAAUUGUUUCAACUGAUGCAAGUAAAACUACAAACCACUAUUACAACAGAUAUGCAUAAGUGCAACCACUAAACAGUGUCUAUGGUAAGGGGAUUCAAGUAGCAACCCAAAAGUGGUAUGGGUUCAACAGCUUUCUAAUGUGGAGCAGUAAAGUCCUCUCUAAAUUCUAUUUAGAGACACAGGGUGGCAGACUAUGGGGCAGAUGGGUUCUAUCACUCCUUGGAGGUUAGGGAAUGAAUAUAUAUCAUUAUGUAAAAGAAUAAACAUACCUGCCGCAACUUGGCAGCAAUUUUUUGGUACAUCUCAUUUAAUUCAGGUAAGUAUGUCUCUUUCAUGGCCUUGAUCUGCAACAUAAAAUCAGGAUCAAAAUGCUUAACCAACGAUUAAACCACUCAAUUUAUCCCAGUGUCAUGAUUUAUUAGAAAAAUAAUAAGAUUUUUCCAUUUUCUGACUAGCAGGCGCUGAUAUUAGUUAAUAACAAAAGAAACAAAGGUGUCGAUAAAUGAUGAUUACUUUGAAGUCAAGUAUGCAAGAUACCCUUGGUCUAAGGCUUCUUGCUCACCAAUUUUAAUAGAUCUUUAGUAGAGAGCUGAAGGAUUUAAAUAAACUUUAUUUUCUUUCUUCUAAGAACAAGCCAAAAGAAUUCAAGUUCUUAUUAACAAAGUAGUAAGUAAUUCAGAAAAUGUCUGAAUUUCUUUUACCAAAUUUGUUUUAAGUUCCUACUUCUUCAGUUUUAUGGUUCCUGCUAUGAGAUGCAUCCCAACAUACUCUAAUAUUCUUUUUCAGAACCACUUUCCUACACCUAAAACCUUCUUAAAACCAAGUUGAAACUGUAAUAAUAUCUACAGGAGAAUAAGUCAAGAUAGUUUUUACCUUUUGAUAGACCUCUUCUUGCCAAUCACCCCCAUUUGCAUGUCCUGAUUAAGCUGUGGAAUCCAAAGAUGCUAAAAGAAAAGGAUAAAUAAAUUCUACACACAUAAGAAAAAUGGAAAUUUAUGAAGGAAGAAGAAUACGCAAGGAAAACAUAAUUUAAAUGAAAGAAAAUUGUUCCAUUCGCUUGAAGGUACAUUAUUUUUGUUGCAUAUGUAACAGAACAUUGAAAUAGAUAAUUUAUGGAAGAAGGGUAAAUUAUGAGCAAAAACAACCAACUCUGAAAGCAAAUUAAAGUACACAUAGCAUUGAUGGGGAUAUCGACAGGGAUCAUAACGCAACCAAUAAUCAAUUCCUAUGUCCCAAAAUUCCAUCAGACCCACCACGACUUACAACUGAAAGGCAUUUGAAGAAACCAUUAAACAUUUUGGACAUUGACAUAUGAGAAAAUUUUAUUGCUAGUUUCUGCAACUAACCAUGCGUAUCCAAAUUUUAGAGGUUACUCAUUAAAAACAUGAUCGCUACACCCCAUUUCCACUGCCUUUUACUUUUGGGAUAUUCUAAGAUGUACGCUUACAAAAGUAGAAAAUUUUUUAAUUUUGACUUUCCAUUGUGACACAUAGAGACAAACUCCAAGUUCAAACAUCAUUCUUAUUUUUCAAGGCUACUUAUAGAGUUUCUCAAGUUACAUGCUAACUAUACAUUUGCCAUCUAUAAAAAAGAAGUUCAGUUGGAACAGGAGUAAACGAUAGAUAAGUUUAAGUGAUCAUGAGAAGGAAGACCUAAAAAAAGUUAAACUAUUUUCUGCUACAGACUUGUUUUUCAUUAAAAAUAAAUAUGUCAAGCAAAUAAGGGCGAGCCAAACUAAAGUACUAAAAAAAUUUAGGGAACAAAUUAGACUCAAGGAAUAUAGGGUUCAUAUAGAACUUAAUUAAAUCUACAGCACAAAUUUAAUGUUUCAAUAAAAGCCGUUAGACUAAAUCAAAACACUACUAAGACAAUUUUGAGUUUUGACACCCUUUUAACCAUUUCAUGCGUGCAUGAACCAGCUUGCUGUCACCCACUUGCUUAUCUAGUCAUUCGUUAUGCAUUCUUCAUUCAAACAAAACUCCUCUGACAUUUGCAAGCAUGUUUACCCUCUAUUUUGAUGCAAAAACAGUAACUAGCUGUUCUCAAACAGGACUGCAAUCUCCUAAUCAUAAUUUUUUGUUAAAUUAAGUGGUGGGAACAUUUUUAAAAGCUAGAUAACAAGAAAGAACAACAAUAUUUAAGUCGGACAAAGGAAUCACACCAACCCGACAUAAUCAAACAAACUGCUAGAAAUAUCCGACUAUUCUAAAAUUCAAAUGAAUAUGAAGGGCAUGAGUGAGUUUAUGCAUUUGUUUCUACUCUUCGAGCUUAACCAACAAAAUGGUCACUUCUCUUUGCACAUAAAACACAGUUUACUUAUUUCCAGAAGAAUGUUUUAUAGCCAAACACGAAAACUCGUUGAAUAAAACAGCAUGAAUUAUUUGUUGAUAAAAUGAAUAGAUUAAAUCCAGCCAUUGCUUUGUGGUUUGACAAAAUCAUUGCAAAAUAACUAGAGUAAGUGUUAAGAGUAACAUAAUAGCACAGUGACAACAGUGGAGACUUAGCAGUGACAGUGGUAACUGUGAGAAAACACUUAUUUACAGUUGGUUGUAAUCUUGUAAUCUGUAUAUUUAUUUUUGUAUCUUUAGAAUUAAGUAUUUGUAUCCCUAAAAUUAAGGACAAUGAUAGACAAUCCCUCAAUCAUAGGAACAAUUUUUAGGAAGAUUUAGUUUUCUAGUUUAACCCCUAGUUAGUUGUAUAUAAACUAAGGUUCUUGUAUAAUUCUUAAUGAGCAGUUUUUCAAUAUACAUUCAGUUUUUACUCUUAGUUUUUCACAUAGCUCUAUUUCUAAGUUUUUCACAUAGUAUCAGAGCUUUAGGCUCUUCUUGGGAAGCAAAAUUUUUCAACCUUCAUUGCAGACUUUUAUUUUUAGGCCUUCAUUGCCGAACCCUGCUUAGGCCUUCAUUGCCAAACCCUGUUAAAGCCUUCAUAACCAUUUUAUUUUUCUCUUCUUCAGCCUUCAUUGCUAAGAGUUAUUUCUAAUUAUAUCUUAAGACUUCUUUCAGUUCAAAGAAAGAUAUCACUACCACCCAAUUUGAGAAAGUGUCAACUGAAAAAAUCACUGAAGUAUUAUAGAUGUCUCGAAAACAAUGAGAGUUGAACAGAGAAGAGAUUGAAAAGCUGAAAAAGCUAUUGAACCCUUGAAAAGCCUACUGUAGUAUGUUCCUUGAGUAAGGUCUCUAGUUCAGGUAAAAUUUUUGGUUCUCAUGGAUUGAAUGUCUUGGUUAAGCCUAUUACAAGUUCUUGAGUCAUUGACUUAUGAGCCAUAGACUAUAUGACACAUUCUUCACAAAAGUUUAGUACAUACAUGAUGUGUUCUAGUAAUAAGAAAAUUAUUGUUAUAGAUGGUUCACUUGUUACAGUGGUAGGAUUAAGAGAUGUUCAAAUUAAUCCCUCAUUUGUUCUAAAAAAUAUUUUUCAUAUUCUUGGAUUGUCUACUAAUAUGAUAUCUACACAAAAACUUACCAAAGAUAUGAACUGUAAAGUGAUUUUUUAUCCCUCUUAUUGUGAAUUUCAGCACCAGAGUUCGGAGAAAAAGAUUGGACUUGCUAAAGAGAAGGAUAGACUAUACCAUCUUGAGACAUCAAACAACACAAGUAAUAUCAAGAAUAGUUUACCUUUGUCAUUUUUUUCUGAAAAAUCUUUCACUAAAGACAAAAUCUAGCUUUAUCAUUUUCGUCUUAGACAUCCUUCUUUUGGAACUUUGUGAAACAUGUUUCCUUCUUUGUUCAAUGGAUUAAACAUCAAAGAUUUUCAUUGUGAUGUUUGUGAACUUGCAAAGCACAGACGUGUGUCUUUUUCAAUUAGUAACAAAAGAAGUUCUACUCUUUUUUACUUGAUUCAUAGAGACAUUUAGGGUCCCUCUACAAUUUUUAAUAUUUCUGGUGCAAAAUGGUUUGUUUCAUUCAUAGAUGAUUGUACCAAGAUCUUUUGGGUUUUUUAUUUAAAUCCAAAUCAGAUAUGAAUAGUAUAUUUUUAAGCUUCCAAAACAUGAUCCAAAAUCAAUUUGAAGAGAAUCAUGAGAUUUAGGUCUGAUAAUACAAGAGACUAUUUCAACUAGAGUCUAUCCACUUAUUUUCAAAAAGAGAGGAUUAUUCAUGGGUCAUAUUGUGUUAAUACUCCAGAGCAGAAUAGAGUGACAGAAAGAAAAAAUAACGAUUUACUAGCCACAACCCGAGCCUUCAUUUUUUAAGCAAAUGUACCCAAAUCUUACUAGAAGGAAAGCUGUUCUCAUUGCCACACACAUUAUAAAUAGGUUACCUUCAAAGGUUUUAAGAUUUAAAACUCCUAUGGAACUACUUUCAAAAUUCUAUCCCAACCUCAAUACCCAAACAACCUCACACCUAGGAUAUUUGGUUGUACAUCAUUUGUUCAUGUUCACAGUCAUAAUAAAAGAAAAUUACAUCCAAGAGCAAUUAAGUGUAUCUUUGUGACUUAGAAAGAGUAUAAGUGUUAUCAUCUUCCUACCAAAAAAUUAUAUGUAUCUGCAGAUGUCUCUUUUGAAGAAAGUAAACCAUUUUUUACUCAACUUUAUCUUCAAGGAGAGACUUCAUUCAUGGAAGAUAAUGAUAAAGACUUCUUUUUGUUUAAUUUGUCAUUCUCUUCAACAUUUUCACCUAUUAAUUUUCUUAAGUGGAAACCUGUUUCUGCUGAGCCCAAGUCAAACACUGAAUUUGAGUCUGAACCCAUUUCAAACACAGAAGAUGUGACAAAGGAUAAUAUUGUUCUUGAUUCUAUGAAAGGAUUACAAAUGUACUCAAGAAGAAAAGUUUCAGAUCCUGAACCAAUGCCAGACUAAGAACUUGUUCUUCACUCUAGAAAUGAGGUAACUACAGUUUUUGACUCUAUUUUUCAAAAUGAGCAUGAAUCUCUUAAAACUAUAACAAGUGAUUAUGAUCUUUCUAUUGCCAUUAAGAAAGAAACCAAAGAAUGUACUAAGCAGUCACUAUACCAAAUCUUUAAUUUUGUGCCAUUUGAAAAAUUCUCAUCAUUCUACAAAAAUUUUUUAGUGAGCCUAAACACUAUUUUUAUUCCAACUACAUUAUCCGAGACAUUAUUUAGUGAAAAAUGGAGGUAAUCCAUGAAAAUAAAAAUGGAGACCUUAAAGAAAAAUAAGACAUGAGAACUGGUAGAGUUGCCUAAAAGAAAAAAUUCAGGAGGGCGUAAAUAGGUUUUCACUGUAAAAUACAAGGCAAAUGGUAAUGUUGAAAGGUAUAAAGCCAGAUUAGUGGCUAAGGGCUACACUUAAACCUAUGGAGUGGAUUAUCAGAAAACCUUUGCUUCAGUUGCCAAGAUGAAUACAGUUAAGAUUUUGUUAUCAUUGGCUGCAAAUUGCAAUUGGUAGCUUCAACAAUUUGAUGUAAAAAAUGCUUUUCUACUUGGUGAUUUGGAAGAAAAAAUAUAUAUGAAGGUUUCAUCAGGAUUUGAAGGUCAUCUACAAGCAAACAAAGUAUGCAAACUGAAAAAGGCUUUAUAUGGCCUUAAACAGUCUCUUAGGGCCUGGUGCAAGAGAUUUGUCAAAGUGAUGCUAGCAAUAGGAUAUAAACAGAGUCAAGGAGAUCACACAUUGUUUAUCAAACACUCUAAUUCAGGGAAAGUCACAAUUCUAUUAGUGUAUGUUGAUGAUAUAAUUGUAACUGGAGAUGAUAAAAAAGAGAGAAAAUCUCUAAAAUUGUAUUUAGCUAGGGAAUUUGAGAUAGAUGAGCUAGGAAGAUUGAAAAAAUUCUUAGGAAUUGAAGUAGCUCACUCACGGCAUGAUAUUUUCAUCUCACAACAGAAAUAUGUGAUGGAUCUUCUAAAGGAAACUGAGAAGCUCGCAUGUAAACCUGUAAAUACCCCUAUAGAUCCUAAUCAUAAAAUUGGAUAAGCUAAUGAAGAUGCUGCUGUAGAUAGAGAGAUGUAUCAAAGAUUAAUUGGAAGACUCAUUUAUCUCUCACAUGCUAGACCUGAUAUAGCAUAUGUUGUGAGUGUGGUAAGUCAAUUCAUACAUAGUCCUAAAGAAGUGCACCUACAGGCUGUUUACCGUGUAUUUACAUUAUUUGAAGGCCAAUCUUGGGAGAGGUAUCUUAUUCAAGAAAUUCGGGCUAGUUCUAGAACAUAUAUAAAUGUUGAUUAUACAAGUUCAGCUACUGAUAGAAGAUCCACAUCAAGCUACUGCACUUUCUUAGGUGGUAAUCUCGUGACUUGGAGGAGUAUAAAACAAAAUGUGAUUGCAAGAUCAAGUGCUGAAGCAGAGUUCAGAACAAUGGCUCAAGGAAUUUGUGAACUACUAUGGUUAAAAAUUAUUCUAGAAGACUUGAAGAUCAAGUGGGAUGGACCAAUGACAGAUCAAAAAACAUUGAAGUAAACCGGCAUUUCAUAAAAGAGAAACUAGACAGUGGGUUGAUUUGUACACCUUAUGUAUCAACCAAUGAUCAACUUACAGAUGUGUUGACUAAAGGUCUCAGCAGUGCAAUAUUUCAAGAAAUUAUUUCCAAGUUGGGAAUGGAAAACACCCAUUCACUAGCUUGAGGGGGUGUGGGAAAACACUUAUUUACAGUUGGUUGUAAUCUUGUAAUCUGUAUAUUUAUUUUUGUAUCUCUAGAAUUAAGUAUUUGUAUCCCUAGAAUUAAAGACAAUAAUAGACAAUCCCUCAAUCAUAUGAUCAAUUUUUAGAAAGAUUUAGUUUCCUAGUUUAACCCCUAGUUAGUUGUAUAUAAACUAAGGUUCUUGUAUAAUUCUUAAUGGGCAGUUUUUCAAUAUACAUUCAGUUUUUACUCUUAGAUUUCCACAAUUUUAUUUCUGAGUUUUCCACAGUAACAACAAUGUUUCUGGUGGCAUAAAAAGCCAGGCAGUGCCCAUGAUCAGCUUAUGAAGGCAAGGGUGCCAUUAAUUUUGGUAGCAUUUGUCUUUGUUAGCUAAGAACUAAUCAUCUAGGCAAAAUGUGCUUUGAUAGGACAACGUAGUGCAAGUUCAAAAAGAUAUUCUCUUAAUCCCCCCAAGUUGGAAUGGAAAUUAUUUUCUGUAAUAGAAAUGCAAUGAAAAACAAUAGCAUCAACUAUAGUAGCUAUAUGGGAAAAUAGAUUUUUUUCCGGCUUCAAGGAUAAAAUGUGCUAGUAUCAGAGGAAAAAUUGCAUAGAUUCGUUAAAUAACACAAGAUCAGAAAGAAACAAAGAAAGAACAAAGUAAGCAACUGCAAGCAUUCAAAAUAUACUUGAUGAUGUCUCUGGAAUAGCUCUGCGCGAUUGAUACAAUUGCUUUUGCUGAUCUAUCAAAUUUUGUGAUUGAAGCAGGGAACAUGAUAGUUGACCUGAUGCAUGAAACCUUGGCUGCAUAUUUUGGUGUAAUUGAUUGGGCUGCUAUUGCAAACCCAAUUGUUGCUGCAGCUGAGUAGACUUUAAUUGCAUCUGUGACAUCAGUGCUGCUGCUGCUGCUGUGGCUGCUGGGAUGUCUGUCCUUGAGUUGGUAACAAAUUAGGUGCACUCUGCUGCCUUUGUUGGAGUGAAACCUUAGGCUGGGGUAGCAUGUGCUCAUUAGUUUGCAUGCUUGAGUUACCCAAUUGGGUUCCAAUCAAUUGCUGCUGCUGCUGUUGCCGUAAUCCUGAAAUAUUACUUUGAGGACCCAACUGUUGCUGAUGGAUAUUUGAGAGGUUUUCUUGAGCCAUUAACUGAUGCUGCUGCUGCAGGUUUGGAGGAUUAUUAGGCUGGCCUAGCAAUCUCUGCUGCUGCAUGUCCGCAAUGCUAUUUUGUUGUCCAAUUAACUGAUUCUGCUUUAUAUGUGCAGCAUUUGUCUGUUGUCCCAUUAUGUUUGGCUGCUGCAGCCGUUGCUGUGGCUGUGGAGGCUGUUGCUGCUGCUGAGGCAUCAUUGACUGCAGUGUCAUUGCUGUUUGUUGUUGAAGAAUACCAACACUGGUGGCCGCUUGUGGCUGUUGAUGCUGCUGAAGCAUGGACUGUAUUGACUCUUGUAGAGAAGAUUGCUGAUUCUUUUGAAAACCAGUAAGAGGAGUUGAUUGCAUGGCAGAUGGCUGCAUAACGGAUGAUGUUUGUAUACCAGAUUGCAGGCAAGAUCGCGACUGAGUAGGUGGUAACAGGUUUUGCUGUUGCUGUUGCGGCAUGUGAAACUGCAUAAGUGAAGGCUGGAGAUUUCCUUGUUGAAUCUUUUGCUUCAUAAGUUGCUGUUGUAACUGCUGAUGGUAUGGUUGUUGCUGCUGCUGUUGCCGUAGCACCCAUUGCCUUCCUUGCAUGUGCCUCUACUGAAUAGUAAAAAUAUUGGAAGAUAUCCCUUGCCCCAGUGAGUUCUGUGAAAUUUCAGACAAGUUUUGCAUGUUGGAAUUCUGGCCAACAACAUUAGGUAUAGAAUUCUGGGUUGGUUCAGAGACAGAAGCCAUCCCAGAUUGUAAACCAGUAGAACUUUGAACUCCAGCAGAUGACAUGUUAUUUGGAACACACUGGGGUAACAGUUGUUGACGUGCUUGAGACUGAUUACUUUGUAUUGGAUAGGAAUUGAUAGCCCUUGACUGUAAACUUGGUUUUGCAUGCCCUGAGAACCUACCCAAGAUUUUUAUAUUCAGAAAGAAAAGUUGGGACGAACCCACAAGAACUGAAUUGAAGAACAUUUAGAACAAGAUAAACAACAAAAAUACUGAAGCAGUAAUUCAUUCAAAAAGAUAACUAGACUUAAAACAUGUGAGGGCAAUUGAAUCAUACCAUGAGGAUCAUGAAAAAAUAAUAAAAUUAUUCCUAGGCCUAGCACAUGAAGAGGUGCAUCCCACGCAGAAAGACUACAAUCAUGGGAACAACAAAUAGGCCUUUCUGUUUGGGUGCUCAUCAAAACAAUCCUUAAACAACUCCAACCCACCAAAAGAACCACGCUUUGUUAAGGGGACAAAAGAGUUAAAAUAUAGGUAAUUUUCAUUCAAAUAGCUGCAGAAAUAAUAUGUGCAUAAAUGUUGCAAGUUAAACAACUCUGCAUGUUAAAGAACAGAAAGGACAUGUAAACGGAAAAUGUCCUACUUGUAGAAUACAUCAAAGCAAAAUGCUGUUUCCUGCUAUUACCUGGAUCAGGGGGCUUGCUGUUAUUCCCAGAGUUGGGCAUAGUAUUCUGAGACUUGUUCUCCAUAGUAAGCAUCUUCAAGGAUAUUCUCCUCAGAUAAUCCGACUGAAUAUAGCAAUCCAUUCGGCAUUAGAGUAAACAGCCUUUACUUCAUUAUUCAAAUACAAGACAAGAUUAUCAAAUAUGUUAUAUUAACCAUGCUUAAUAAUGAGUUAGCAUUUAGCAUCUUUGUUUUUUCCUACCUCUGCUCUCUUUCCUCCCUGGAUUUCUUUCUUAUUUACUUCUAAUGUAAUUGACAAGGAGUCUAGGUGUAUGUGUCACGGACCUAAGAGGGAGUCCUGAAUCCCACAUCGAACAUAAUAGGAAGGUCACUGGGGUAUAAAAGGGUUCACACCAUUUUCGCCUUGUGAGGCGUCUUUUGUAGGAUAAAACCGUGAGGUCAGGGGGGUCGGAGCCGACAAUACCUCACAAGGGUGUGAACCGUGACGGAAGGUUGAUCCGGGACGCUGGAAGGGUGAAUGCCCGGGUCCCGAAGCUUGAGUCUCGACCCGUGACAAGUGGUAUCAGAGCCAGCCCUAAACCGUUCGAUCCACGCCAAGCACCUCGAGGGAGGUAGGCAGGGUGACCAGCCUCCGUGACGAGGGCGUCACGAGGUUGGGUGCGGGAGAAUGUCACGGACCUAAGAAGGAGUCCUGAAUCUUACAUCGAACAUAAUAAGAAGGUCUCUGAGGUAUAAAAGGGUUCACACCAGUGAAUACAAGAGCAUUUCCAGAAUUCUGUCUUCUUGUCUUGUUUUUCUUUAACUUGCGUAAUCAACCAUUCCCAUUGUUCAAGAGCAUUUCCAGAAUUCUGUCUUCUUGUCCUGUUUUUCUUUAACUUGCGUAAUCAGCAAUUCCCAUUGUUCUAGUGCCCGCACGCUUGUGUUUUAGGCUGACUUAGGCAUAAAGGAGGAGAUUCCAAGCCUAAGGCCGCACGGAUUCUGAGUCUAAGGUCGGAGCCCGUGACUUGUUCAAGAGCAUUUCCAGAAUUCUGUCUUUUUGUCCUGUUUUUCUUUAACUUGUGUAGUCAGCCAUUCCCAUUGUUCUAGUGCCCGCACGCUUGUGUUUUAGGCUGACUUAGGCAUAAAGGAGGAGAUUCCAAGCCUAAGGCCGCACGGAUUUUGAGUCUAAGGUCGGAGCCCGUGACAGUUGGUGUCAUGGGUCGAGACUUAAGCUCCGAACCCGCGCGGCUCCGAGACCUGGGAAUUCACCCUUCCGGCGUCCCGGAUCAGCCUAUCUGUCACGGUUCACACCCUUGUGAGGUAUUGUCCGCUCUGGCCCCCCUGGCCUCACGGUUUUGUCCUACAAAAGGCGCCUCACAAGACGGAGGUGGUGUGAACCCUUUUAUACCCCAGGGACACUCCUAUUAUGUUCGAUGUGGGAUUCAUGACUCUUCCUUAGGUCCGUGACAUUCUCUCGCACCCAACCUCGUGACGCCUUCAUCACGGAGGCCGGCCACCUUGCCUACCUCCCUCGAGGUGCUCGGCGUGGAUCGAACGGUUUAGGGCUGGCUUUGAUACCACUUGUCACGGGUCGAGACUUAAGCUCCGAACCCGCACGGCUCCGGGACUUGGGCAUUCACCCUUCCGGCAUCCCAAAUCAGCCUGACCGCCACGGUUCACACCCUUGUGAGGUAUUGUCCGCUCUGGCCCCCUUGGCCUCACGGUUUUGUCCUAUAAAAGGCGACUCACAAGGCGGAGGUGGUGUGAACCCUUUUAUACCCUAAGGACCCUCCUAUUAUGUUCGAUGUGGGAUUUAGGACUUUUCCUUAGGUUCGUGACAGACAAUACCUCACAAGAGUGUGAACCGUGGCAGGAAGGCUGAUCUGGGACGCCAGAAGGGUGAAUGCCUGGGUCCCGGAGCCGCGCGGGUUCGGAGCUUAAGUCUCGACCCGUGACAAGUGGUAUCAGAGCCAGCCCUAAACCGUUCGAUCCACGCCAAGCACCUCGAGCGAGGUAGGCAGGGUGGCCGGCCUCCGUGACGAGGGCGUCACGAGGUUGGGUGAGGGAGAAUGUCACGGACCUAAGAGGGAAUCCUGAAUCCCACAUCGAACAUAAUAGAAGGGUCCCUGAGUAUAAAAGGGUUCACACCAUAUCCGCCUUGUGAGGCGUCUUUUGUAAGACAAAAUCGUGAGGCCAGGGGGGUCAGAGCGGACAAUACCUCACAAGGGUGUGAACCGUGACAGGAAAGCUGAUCUGGGAUGCCGGAAGGGUGAAUACCCGAGUCCCAGAGCUGCGCGAAUUCGAAGCUUAAGUCUCGAUCCGUGACAUAUGCAUGUCUAUACAUAUGAAUAAGAAAAAAAAGAAACACAAAGAUACAAACACACAACGCAAACAAACAAAAUAUAGGUAAACAACAAUGCAUCCAAGCAGGUUAAGGAAUGCCAAUAUUCUAUGAUUACCUGGCUGUUUGCUGCUGUAAAAAUCUUUUCCUCGAACCUUACUACGAUUUUCCUGAGUUCAUUUAAACCCUCUUGGCCAGAAAAUGGAAGGUGCCUCUUCAAUGUGUCCAUUCUAUGCACACAAGGCAUUGUGUAAGUUAUCGACAAACCAAACGGAUAUAUAUAAGAAUCUUCCAUGGUUAAUAAAACAAUGCCAUGACCAAAUUGUGAAGUUAACAUAAAAUCAAAUGAAAAUUAACCAGGAUAUAAUCUGACCACCAAAAGAUUUUCCUCAUUAACUUGUUCAGGACUGUCUCAUUCAAAUAUCGAGAAGCCAUGGCAUUGGAAUUUAACAAAGUUCUCCCAAAUAAACAAAGUGGCCAUCAUGACCUUCAUAUAUCAGCUACAUUCAAAUAGACCACAUACCAAAAUUACCAUCGUUCAUAAAAUGAUAUAGAAAAGCAAGACCACUAGUGUCCGUUACAGCUAUAAGUUAUUUAAUGAUGGGUAUAAUUCAGUUAGUAAGAAGAAAAGAGAACCAUCAAUUCAUAUACUGUAGCACUCAAAUGAGAAAACAAGUCCCAAGCUUACAAGAAGCAAAAGAUCUAAAAGCAAAAUUUAUCCUCAUUCAAUCACGUAAAUUCAUUAUUAAAAGUAAGAGUUAAAUCGAUACAAUGAAAAAUUUAAAUUAUAGUUUGAUUCUCAACUCGUGACUCGAUACUCAGUUCGAAUUCGAUCAAGAUUCUUUUUCUUAUCUCGAACUCGAUUUGUGAUCGAAUUCAAAUUACUUGAACUCGUUCGAUUAAGCUCGAAAAUAUAUAAAAAUAAGCUUGAUCCUUAUACUCGACAAGAGCUCGAUUAUUUGUGCUCGAGUUCGAACUCAAAUUCGAGAUAUUUUAUUAAUUAAAAUAAUAAAUAAAAUUUAAAUAUAAAAAUUCGAUUAAACUCGCGAGUUACUUGAGCUAAGUAUAAAAAUACUCGAACUCGACUACAUAAUAAUUGAACCGAAUUCAAAUUUUAUUCGAAUCGAACUCGAAUAACUUAAAAAUAUUAAUAUAUUAUUUACACAUUUAAUCAAAAGUAGUCACUUAAAAUCAAAAUAUUGUAGUACUUUUAGUGAAAAUGGUUAGGCUACAAUUACAUGGUAACAUGUGGAAUUUACUAGUGCGAACCUUGCAUGUUGAAGUUGGCCCACUUAAUCUUUUUUUUUUUUUUCUUCCAAGUUUGGAUUUCUAUGGUUGUUUUUUUUUUUUUUUUUUUUUUACAUUUUUAUUCGUAUUAAUUAGGAUUCUAUUUUUAUGAAAAAUAUAUAAAAAUAAAAUCAUAUUCCUUUUGCCUUAUUUUUUUUUUCAAUCUUUCCUUUUUGAAAUGUCUCAAAUUAUGUUGGAUUUUUUUAACAUUUAAAAUUUUUAUUUUUUAUAUUUUAAAAUUAAAUUUUAUGAUUUUUUUAACUUUUUGACAUUAAAAGUCAUAAAACUUUAAUUUUAUAAAAAAAUUUUAAAUUUUAAAAUUAAACACACUAAAAUCUAAAAUUUUUUCUUAAAUUUUGUUAAAAAUUAAUAAAUGACAUUUUGAAAUAAAAAAAAGUAUAUACAUGAGAUUUAUAUGAAAAAAUAUAUUCUUAAAAUUAUCUAAAAAAAUUAAAUUUCCGCAAAAUCUAAGAAUAGUCAUAAUGAUAUUAUUAAAAAAAGAAAAGAAAAGAAAAGAAAAAUCCUUUAGUGAUUAAGAAUCUUAAACAAUAAAAAGGGACCAUUUUGUGUAGGCAGCACAUGCAAGGGUCCACUUCCAUCAAUGAAUAUUUAGCAAAUUUGACUACAAAUGUGACAUUUCGUCAAAUCAAUACCAACUUCACCUUCUUUUUCUCUCUUUCCUAUUGAAAAAUAAAAGUGAUCAUUAUCUCUUAUUACACCUAGGUAUUUCUAACUAGAUGGCUUCUUCACCUAAAAGUUAUUGGGGUAACCUUAGAAUUCGACCCAACAUAAAACCUAAACACCUCUGUCACUCGAUAAAAAAGCAUAGGUCAAAAUUAGUGUGUUUAGGUAAGAUAACUAGUGUUAUUACAUGGCUUAGAUUGGUUCAGCACGGCAAUGGCACCCUGAGGCUUAAACGGCAAUGAAACUUUCUGAUUGCAUGCAUCUCUAAUUCAUAUUUUCCAUGAGGAAUGUAAACCAAGUUUACAAAAACCUUUAAAAUAAGCAAACACCUGCCCACAAUUUUGUCGUAAAUAGUAUCAUCUUGAACUUCCUUACAAAGGAAAUCCAAUUGCUAUACCAUGGCCCUUUCCUCUUUUACCCCAAGCAUAAAAAGCUUUGGAAAUUUGUUUUGCUACUGCUCAUGCAGAUGUUAUUAUAACGAACCAAAACAUUAGAGCUAACAUAGCCAGUGCACUCAUGUAGAAUCUCAUUUUCUCGGCUCCAGUCAUUCCAGUUUGUGGAAAGAAACUUCUUCGACGCAAACCACCCUUGCUCGUGGCGGCCACAUCCACACCAACUGCAGAGGCUGCCUCAUCAACCAUGGUCACAACGGAUGCCUCCAAUGAUUUAAGUGACAUGGGUUUUGCCUGAAACUUAUAAAAUAGUAAUAGACCAACAUCAUUUCAAAAGCUAAAACAAACUAUAUUAGAAGAUAAAGUCAAAAGGAAGGAAAAAAAAAAAGAGAAGGAUUUCAAGGUUUUUUUUCCACUCUUUCACUACAUGAACAACAUAUCAAGCCAAAGGAGCAAAUUGAAAAAAGAGAAUGUGAAGAAUGAAAAUUAAUUAAGCUUCACUAACCAUGGUAACUCUGGGAUCAUGUGGCAGUUCUGUAACCUUCGACUUGCCAAAAUCAGUUGUUAAAGCAAUACUGUGAGCAUCAUUAGCAUUUUCGAACACAGUAAGCAAAGGUGAUGUUGACAUACCAUUACCAAGUGUGUCAGGUGCAGGGAAUUCAGAUCUUGCUUGCUGCUGACUAAUAUUUUUGUUAUUUGACAGAGAGGAAGCGCCAUAGAUAGAUUUCUCAGUGUUCUCAGGCGAGGGAUAUGGACUCAACAGGGUUG
rnacentral:lncRNA from 1 species